AUAAGUUCAAUUGAUUCCAUUAAUCUCUCAAUUGUUCAUAUUAACAUCACUUAAUCAGGCUAACAAUCACAAUUAACAUAAGCACAAAAUCAAAAGGGAAUUAGGUUUACGUGUUUGUGGCCAUUGAAAUCUCCACCGGAUCUCUCUUCCCCUCACGAUGCGAUUAAACGGCGCGAUAUCUCCCUCUCUUCUCCAGCGUGAACGGCGACGGCGCGACGUCGGAGUUGAUUUCUCCUCUGAGCGAAACUCUCCGUCUCUGCUUUCGAUCUCUCCGUCUCUGCUUUCCGACGAAUCUCUCUCGAUCUCGCUUCUCAUCUCUCUCGUCUCUCAGACCUCUCUCGUAUCUCCGCUCCGCUCUCUCUAUUUCACUCUCGAUCUCCGAUUACAUCCAAUCACCUCUCCGAUUCACUUCUUUGCGUUUGUUGUGUGUGAAGCCGAAGAACGUGAUGAUGAUUGAAGACUGUUGCGGAUUGACGAAUGUAACGAUGAAGAUUGGAGAAGUGAUGAUACAUUCGUUGCGAAGAAGGUGAUGACCUUGUUAUGGUUGAACUCAUAUCAGACACAUGAAAUUGAUGCGUCACUCUGCAGAAACUUGUUGAGGACGAUGAAAAUACGAAAAUCUUGCAGAGAGAAUCGAUAGUUUCCAGGUGAGUUUUCUUGUAUGAUUUUCUGUGUGGAUUGAAGGUUAUGGUAGAUUCAAAAGUUCUUUCGAUUCUGAGUUUUCUUUUCGAAUGAUUGUGGUGAAUGGAGGAAGGUGAUGAAGAUGUUCGGUUCAGGGAGUUUUUGAAGAUUGAAGCGUGGUUGAUUCAGAGUGAUGAAGAGGUGAGUUUGUUUCUUUCUUUUUCUGGUUAUUUUCUCUUAUUGAUUUUGUGAUGAAUGAAGAUGAUGGACAAGGUUAGCGGUGGAUUCAAGAAUAUCAUGAUGAAGAUUGAAGAUUGUUGUGAGUUAAUUUCACGAUUUCUGUUGGAGGUGAAUCGAGAAAGAACGAUGAAGGUGGAGAGAAUCGGGAGAGUUUGUUACAUUCUUUUUUGGAAUUCUGUUAUGUGGUUUUCUCCUUCCCCUCCUUAUUUUUUUGAGCUUUUCCUCUGAUGUAUCUGUGAAGUUUCUGAACCGGUUUAGUUUAUUUGUCAAUUGCAGGAUGUUGCCGAUUCGAGUUCGGUUUUUAUGCUGCUGCAAGCUUGUAUUGUGUUGAACCGGCCUCCCUCUACUGCGUUAGCUUUAAUCGGUUUAUGUUGUGAUGCGGGUUUUGUGGUGGCGCGAUGCGGUUCGGUUUCCCGGUUUAUUUGCAGGGGCGAUUUGAUUUUGAAGCUUUUGGUUUAAGCGCAAGUUUUUGGAAUAUGUGUAUGGUGCAAGGUGGAUUUAGUUGCUUGAUGGAGGGCUGUUUGGACAGAUUAUAAUAUGGAGGGCUUUGAAUUUGAAUAAAGACUUGGUGUAGUGAUAGUUUGAGUUUGGAAAUAGGAUAGGCUCAAAUGGUGUAAUGUUUAGAAUUUGGACUUUAAUAUGUUUUUUUUUGGAUAAUUCUUGUAAAGUAUGGACCUUUGAACCGUGUAUAGUUUUGUAAUGGAUAUCUUGGGCUUUUGAAUGUA